CUCCUUCCUUCGGAAGCUUCUUCCCUGCCUUCGGUUUUUUCUCAGCCGGAGCCUUCUCUCCUACGGUGGACUUCUUCUCCUCCGCCGGCUUCUUCUCCGCUGGCUUCUUAUCUGCCUUUGGUGCCAUAUCUAGGACAGAACUUUGAGCUCUGAAAUAAAUUAGGGUUUCGAAUUGGGAUUUCAGAAGCUUGGGGUGAGAGCAGAUGAUGUUGUGAAUAUUUUCUGAGUUUAAGAGGAAUGUAUAUAUAGGGGAAAGUUUUGUCUUCUGAUUGGCUAAUGGGAUUUGUUACGGAUCGAUGAGCUGGCGUUUUUAUGAGACUGUUGAUCAACGGCUGAGAUGUUGUUUUCACUUUUUAGUUUUUUUUGGUGUCUAAAUAUAUUCUUGUCCCACUGUUUUCCUUUAUAAUUAAGAUGAAAGGAAGACAGUUUUACAAUGGAAACUUAAGUUAUCCUUUUGAGUUUCAUCCAUGAAAAUACAUUUUCUUUUAAGAAAAAAAAACAUUUCUUUUAAGAAAAUCCACUGCUAUCUAAUAAAAAUAUGGAAUAAAUAGAACCAUUCUUGAAUUGUUUCCGUUAUUAUAUUAUUUUUGUUUAAAAAUAUAUAUUAUCUAAUUUCAUCAUCCUCCUAUCUUUCAAAUACUGUAUUUUUAUGAUGAUAAAAGUAAUUUAUUUUCUUUUAAAUUUUAAAUAUGAAGAAUUAUUAGUUAUGAUUUUAAAAAUAAUACUAAAUUAUUUUAUUUUUGGAAGAAUUACUGAUUUUAAAUUUCACAAUCAACAUCUUGUCAAAUUAGUGAAGGAAAUCAUAAAAUAAAGAAAAAAAAAUAAAGCUUGUAGGGUGACAUUUUCCAUCAACUUAUUAACAAAUAUAUAACAACAAUUCUUUCCAUCUUAUACUUGAAAUGAUUCAAGUCCUCUAAAUCAUGCUUUUACCCAAAGAAUAAAAUUAGAACAAUUAUUUAGUACCAUAAUCUUUAUUAAGUACCUUGGAGAUUACAAUAAAUAAAAUAAUUAGUGUGAUUCGAGAUAUAUCCUUUAUUCUCUAAUUACAUAAUGAUCAUAUAAUGUGUUGAAUGAAUAUGUUGAAUAUGUAAUAUCUUAUGUUGACAUUUGAUAUUGAGAUUUGCAAUAUCUUUCUCUUUUAUCUAUGGUUGAGGUAAAUAGUGGUGAAAUAACAUUCAAAAGAAUUUGAUGAUUAUGGAAACAAUUGAUUUUAAAUGUUAGCCAUUUGUGUAUAUAAAAAAUAUAAGGAAUCAUAUGAAAAAUGAGUCACAUGCAUGCAUUUGUGUUAUUUGCUUAUAAAAUGUAAUUUUAUUAUCACAUAGUGUUUUUUUGCAUUAAAACUUUCUUCUCUAAAUGAUAAAAUUUAGUUUUUUUAUUAUUACUAUAAGACUCUCUAUUUGGUAAUAGUCACUAAAUCUUAUGAAUAUAGAUUCACUCUUUAGGAUUGGUCUACUUUAUCUUUUGAAUAUUUCAAUUUUUUUAAAAUUUAAAAUUUUGAAUCGAUAUCCUCUACUUGAUAAUAGCCAUUGAAUCAUAUGAAUACAGAUUGGUCUACUUCAUCUUUUAAAAAUUUAUAGAUUUUAAAAAAAUUAAAAUUUUUGGUAAUGAUCAAUUAAUCCUAUGAAUAUAAAGCAUAGUUAGUUUUUUAAAGAUUUCAUGUUUUUCUAAAAUAUAAUUUUUUUUAUUGAAACCUUUGAUAAUAGUCACUUAAUCCUAUAAAUAUAGGUAAUCUCCUCGAUAUUGAUCCACUUCAUGUCUUAAAGAUUUCAAAUUUUUUCAAAGUUUAAAGUUUUUAGAUUAAGACCCUUUAUUUUAUAAUGGUUGUAGGAUAUAAACUCUUUCCUCGUUAUUGGUCUAGUUCACCUAAUUAUAUUCAGGAAUAUACUUGCAGCUCAAAUUACAAGUAAUACACAGCACCUAUAUAAAUUAAUUGAAAAUGAUAUUUUGACAUCAAUUUUUUAACACUAUUUUAAUAUUGUAUAUAUGUUAAAAUAUGGUUGGAUAAUUUCAAAUUAAAAAGAAAAACUUUGGUUUUUUUCUUCUAAACAUAUUUUUGUUUCAGUUUUUUUAAUUUGAAAUCAUCCAACCAUCACACAUAUGCAAUGUUAAAAUAAUGUGAAAAAUUGAUGUGAAAAUAUCAAACUACUUUAACCCAAUAAGCGAAUUCGCAAUCUUUCUUUUCACUCUUAGUCGUAAGGAACAGAAUAGCUUAGAAGCUUCUUGUUUCUUUCUAAGUCCGCGAAAAACACUUUAAUGUGUUUAAGAUAUUGAAAGUUCACAGUCAUGCAAUUAACGAAAGGCAACCCUCUUCUUUUCCCCUUAUCUAGAUUUCUGUGUGCGCGUCAUCAUUCAUCAGCCAAAUUGUUUGUCGCAGGUUUUCUCCAACUUCUUUCAGCUCUACUUUCUUUUCUAAAACCUAAUGUUAAUUGCUCAUUUUAGAGUUCUUGUAACUCAGUUCAAAUGUUCUGUUUUAACUGGGAGAUUUUUGGUUUUGUUUUGGAACGAAGGACUUUCCUGGGAUACCAAUGAAUCGAUUCUGAGAGAUGCCUUUGAAAAACAUGGGAAAAUCAUUGAAGGUUAAAUCUAAGAUCUUCUUUCAGUUUUUGGUUCCAAUUUGGUCAUACAACUAUGUUGAAAUUGCCCUAAAUUCUUCUAUUUUUCUUUUAUCAGUUAGAGUAAUAUGUGAUCAUGUGACUGCGAAAUCAAGAGGUUAUGGAUUUGUGCGGUUUGAUUCUGAAACUGCAGCUGAUACAGCUCGCAAAGAGAUGAAUGGCCAGGUUUUUAUUUUUUUGUUUCUCCUAUUUGUUUAAGAUGAAUUCAGUCUUUAUAUCACAAUCUUUGAAAAUAUGCAGACUUAUUGGCUGAAGAAGUUUGCUUCUAUGAUUGUUAUGUAUGAACCUUGCUCCUUAUUCUUUGACAGAUACUGGAUGGCAGACGCAUUCGGGUUACUUAUGCACACAAAGGCUAGGGACUAAGUCCGUCAAACAAUUCAUGGUUGAAGCAUUAUUAUCUAAGUUUUGCAUUGUGUCUUUCUUUGUGAAUUUCUGAGUUAUUCUUGUUUUAAGAUUAGAUAGUUCUGUUGUCCCAUUAUUAUUUGAAAACACAUGUUAUAUUCUGAGGACUUUGACAUCAUGGCCAAGUUGCGGUUUGAUUUUUCUUUUUCUUUUUGCCGUAAAAUGUUACUGAUGGCCAAAUGAUAAGUAAUGUGCACUGACAGUAACCAUUUGAAACUUACGUUUAGUUUUCCCAGUCUAUUCAUCUAACAAUCAUCAUUAUAAUUAAUUGGUCACUUAAAAAGUUUCUCAAUGUAUUUUGACCAUUACACAGAAUUCGCAGAUUCUGAAAAAAGGAAUGAUCAUUAACUGUUGUCAUUGACUUACAGAUUCUGGAAAAAUGAAUGAUAAUUUCCUGUUGUAGUUGAGUUACAAACCAUUAGAACUCAUAUACCGAAACUCCUUGAAUUACAAACUCUAAAUGCUGAUAUUUGAUAGCACUUCACAUUCAAACCAACAUGUGUCUUGGUUUUAGUUCUGAGAACAAUUCAAUUCAAACUACCACGUGCCUUGGCUCUUUGUUCAGGAAAAGAGAGUCAAAUCAUGUGUGGAAAGAUUGAAUUCUUAGGUUGUACCACUUUUGGAUUGUGUUAAUAGAUGUGGUCAUCCGUCUCUAUAAACAGAGAUAUUUGUUUUCAAGAUUUUAAGCUACCAAAUGUGAAGAGAAAAAACAUCAGUUGAUGAAUAAUCUCAAAAGCUUAAUGCAUCCCAAUUUAUCUAUCUUCAGAAAUAACUAUUUAUAUCUAAAAUUCAGUGCACACUAAACAAUAAGGUUCAAUCUUUGAAUAAAAACAACUAUUUGGAAUCCAAUUAUAAAACAUAUGAACAAAGGAAAUUAGAACAUGAUUUGGUAUCAAACACUUCUAUUGCAUCAAUUUAAUCAUUUCAAUACAUAGAGGCUGUGCACAAUCCCAUUUUUUUCAAUUUAAACUAAAACUAAAACCCUACAGGUUGAAAUCUAGGAUUAAAACAUUAGAUCCAAUAGAUACAACUAAUAAACAUAAGGGACCAGGAACACAGGUCAGAAAUAAGAUAACUUGUUCAAGAACUAGUGAACUUGGUAACAGCCUUGGUACCCUCAGAGACGGCAUGUUUGGCCAAUUCUCCAGGCAAUACAAGUCUGACCGCAGUUUGGAUUUCCCUUGAAGUGAUGGUGGGUUUCUUGUUGUAACGGGCAAGUCUAGAAGAUUCCUGGGCAAGCUUCUCGAAGAUGUCGUUGAUGAAACUGUUCAUGAUGCCCAUGGCCUUGCUGGAGAUACCAAUGUCAGGAUGAACCUGCUUCAAGACCUUGAAGAUGUAGAUCUUGUAUGUCUCCACACUCUUCUUGCUUCUCUUCUUCUUCUUGUCACCGCCAGCUCCUCCCUCCUUCGGAAGCUUCUUUCCUGCCUUAGGCUUCUUCUCCGCCGGAGCCUUGUCUCCUACUGUGGACUUCUUCUCCUCUGCAGGCUUCUUCUCUGCUGGCUUCUUCUCUGCCUUUGGUGCCAUAUCUAGAGCAGAAGUUGGUACUCUUGAAGAGAAUUAGGGUUUCGGAUUGAGAUUCAGAAAGCUUAAUGACGAAGCUAUUGAAGGUGUGAAUAAAGAAACUCUUGG
rnacentral:lncRNA from 1 species